rnacentral:lncRNA from 12 species
AUGAUUGGCACCCUGGAAAACAGGCUUUCCAAGCUCCCCAAGGAUGCAAGAUCAAAGUGCAGAGGGACAUUCAUGAAGGUUACAAGUUUGGCCUCUCCUGAUCCCUUGGUUCUGUCUGCUGGUGAGCCUGGGAGGAGAGACCAGGCACCCGCGGGGCCCAGAUCCCUCCUGCUCCGGAGUCCUGAAGUUUGCCUGCCUAGAGGGAGUGCACAUUCCCCACCACACCUCCGUGACAUUAAUUUUAAGGGGCAGAUUUGACCCUCUCACUUUUUUUUUUUUUUUUAACUCUGCUCACCAAAGGUAUAUUCUCACCUAGCUCCCAAAGUAAUAAAGGGAACAUUCUGAUCUCA